GUCGCGGACCGUGGCCCCGACGCCCUCUGCCGGGCGUAGCACGAGAGAGGCGGCGCCUUCACCAGCGGUGCACGUGGUGCCCUCCAGAGCGCGAACGUGGGGACGCCGCGCGAGUGGGAAACGGCAAUGCAUGCAUGCUGGAAAGCCAGACUGAGGCCUCGAGUUUUAGAUGUCACCUGGAAUUGUCCUGUGGAGUGCCACCAUCGGGAGCAGGGGGUACAUCUUGUUUGGGACUUACACAUCCUAAGCAUUUACUCCAAUGAUCAUAGCACAGACUCUGGUAUCAGACAGACCUCCAUUCAAAUCCCAGCUUCACCACGGGGGAAAGCUGAGCACCCUCUAAGCUGUGUGGUCACCCUGUGGAAUGGAGGUAGCAGCUGCUGCUUACAGAGAUGUGAGGACUGAGAGACUGCUCCCACCACAUGCUGUUUUGCAGCAUUACCUGUGAAGAUCUUGGAAAUUAUAGAUGCCCCGAGUUUACCACUGGCGAUUAUGGAUCUUAACAUCCAGAGCAAAGUUUGAAAGCUCCACCAGGAUUCUUAUGACCAGCCAGGAUUGAGAACUGCUGUGUUCAAAUUUCUGCGCAGAUGAGAUCUCACAUAAUGUGCGGGACUAUUGGAUUCCUUGAAAGCACAGUAUCAGUAUCUGAAAGGACCCUUGAAGCUGGUGUUCCUUUUAACCUGUGCUUGAUAGCUCUGAUACUUUUCCUAAACCUCAGGGAUUGACAUUGCCAACAAAAGAUUACUGGACAUGUGAAGAACCAAGAAAAUGUGACCCUCAAACAAGAAAAAAAGCCAAUGAAUAGGAAUCAACCAUGAGUUACCCCAGGCAUUGGAAUUAGCAGAUAAGGACUUCAAAAGUGUACGUUCAGGACAAUUGGGUCUUAAAGGAAAAUAUAAUCAUAAUAAAUAAACAGAUGGGCAAAACUUAACAAGAAAGAGAAACUCUAGAAAGGAACCAAAUGUAAAUUCAACAACUGAAAAAAUGAUUUAAACCUAGAGAGAAGUCUAUAUUAGAACAAAUUAAAUGUCUCUUAAAGUGAAAUAUUAUAGGAAUUAUAGAAAGUUACAAAUAUGAAAAUUUUUAGAAAAUGUAUUUACACUCUUUUUUAUUGAAUCAUGUAUAAUCAAGAAUAUUCCCAACAUUUUUAUAUCCAAAAUAGAAAUAAUCUUCAAAUGUAUGUAGAUGUUAGUGGGAGAACAAGGAUACACACUUCCCCCCCAAAUUAACAAUCAGGCUAUUGAUUCCCCAUAGAA